rnacentral:rRNA from 1 species
GGGGAAUAUUGCGCAAUGGAGGGAACUCUGACGCAGCAACGCCGCGUGAAGGAAGAAGGCUUUCGGGUUGUAAACUUCUUUGAUCGGGGACGAAGAUGACGGUACCCGAGGAACAAGCCACGGCUAACUACGUGCCAGCAGCCGCGGUAAUACGUAGGUGGCAAGCGUUGUCCGGAAUUACUGGGUGUAAAGGGCGUGUAGGCGGGAGGACAAGUCAGAUGUGAAAGCCCAUGGCUCAACUGUGGGCUUGCAUAUGAAACUGGCAGACUAGAGUGCAGGAGAGGGAAGUGGAAUUCCUAGUGUAGCGGUGAAAUGCGUAGAGAUUAGGAGGAACACCAGUGGCGAAGGCGGGUUUCUGGCCUGUAACUGACGCUGAGGCACGAAAGCGUGGGGAGCGAACA